GGAGGAAGAAAGAUUCAUAUAUUAUUUAGCAGAAACAUGAUAUGAUACAUUUAUGAUUGAUGUAUGAUUUCCAUUCUCUGGGAAAAAAGUCUCUUUUUUGCCAUACUUACUGCCCCUGUUGUCCUUCAGUGAUACAAUAAAGACUGCUUCUUCCACCAUUCUCUGGGAAAAACCCUGUUUUGCUAUGCUUACUACCCCUGUUGUCCUUCAGCAACACAAUGAAGACUGCUUCUUCCUCCAUUCUCUGAAAAAAAGUCCCUUUUUUGCCAUA